GAUAUCUUCAUUUGAUUGGACAUUGCUUCUAGUGUAGGAUAAACUAAAUAUUUGCUGACACUAUUGGAAGAACAAUGUGUUUCAGUUCAAAUGUAAAGCAGUUUGUUCUCCUUAUCAUUGUUGGAAUCUUCUUGCUUCUGGGGUAUAUGGUCUUCAACCACUUCAAUGAAAGGCAAAACAUGGUUUGGUUUGACACUUCCAAAAUACAUAUCCCAGUUGAUGAGGACCAGAGGAACACCAGCCUGAGCCCAUAUUCAGGAGCAGAGUACAGAACAUCGUCUCUCCGGAAAGGUGUGUAUCAGUGGCAGUCUCUAUGGGGGUGCCAAGGGGUUCAAUUCUCGGGCCGACUCUCUUCUCUGUAUAC